CAUCCCCAUUUUCAGAUGAAGAAAUUGAGCCUCAGAGUGGACUUGAGCUGGGACUCAACCCUAGAUCUUCUGAUUCUAGAACUGGGUUCAACCCACACUACCACACUGUUUUUGCAUGUUUGGCCUCUCUCUGGAAACUCAAGAGAACAACGUCUAGCAGCCUCACCACAAGCACUGCACACCUUUGUUUAGACAAAGCAAGGAAGGAGAGGCACAGGGACCUGGGGUUUUGAUCUUUCCUUAUGAACCUGUCUAUAUUGGCACAGCAGCUGUCUAUGCAUAGGACUAUGCCUGUACAUGGAUCUAGACACCAGGCCCAUUACAUCACAAAGAUAUUCAUACAGGUACACUUGACCUCUGCAACAGGUGAUAUGGGUCACUCUUUGUUACCAGGAUGGUAGGGAAGCUGUACCUUUAGUUCAGGGGAGGCCUAAGAGGUCAGGACUCUGGGAUUCUGUUUUUUCUCCUAAGUCCAGAAGUCCAGAAGACUUACUAGCUGGCAGAAACAAAGGGCUGAAGCUUGAGCACACUUGGGGAGGGACACACUCACUCCUCUCCAGGCAGCAGGACGAUGCACAGGUUGGGCAGCAAGAGGGCAUGAAGCCAGACAGAAGUCUCUUCAGGAAAGGCCGGGCUGUCCUAGGGCAGGGGAGCUGCCCUAAGGCUCGCUUACACUCUUCAUUUUUCAUGUGAACCACCACCAUUUAUCAAGCAUUUACUCCAGGACAAGUGCUGUUGUGUGUGCUCGAAGAAGGCAGUGAAGAAAAGGGAAAAUGGCUCUGCUGUCAGAGUUUAUAUUCUAGUUGUGGGAGACCAACAAGUAAACAGCAUGCAUGUCAAGCA